rnacentral:lncRNA from 1 species
UCACGGCAGCUUUAUUUGCUUUAUUUUUAUUUAGAAAUUGGAAAUAAUCGAAAUAUCGGUCAACAGGUAAAUAAAUAAACUGUGGUAUAUCCAUGCAAUACAAAAUGUGGAUUAUUGAUGUACACAAAAUGGGUGAAUGCCAAAAUAAUUAUGCUGAGUAGAAGCACCUCCCCCCACAGUACUUGCUCUGCGAUUCCACUCAGAUAAAAUUCUAGAAUAUAUAAAUUAACCUUUAGUGAGAGGGAGCAGACCAGUGGUUGCCUGAACAUGGAGGACACGAGGGACGGUUUAGACCGGGGUGUGAAACUGCUGUUGGUGGUGAUGGACAUGUUCUGGCGACAGCUUCACAGGCAAAUGCAUCGGUCACUUCACGUAUGUGCAGUUCAUUACCUGUCAGUUACACCUCAACAGAGCUGUUUUAAAAAGCAAGGUGGGGCCGGCUUUGGUGGCUCACACCUGUAAUCCCAGCACUUUGGGAGGCCAAGGAAGGAGGAUCGCUUGAGGCCAGGAGUUUAAGACCAGCCUGGGCAACACAGUGAGACACUGUUCCUAUUUUAAAUAACAAAACAAAACAAAAGUGGUACAAUAACAACUUUUAAAACUCAAAAAGAAACAAAGAAAGAGAUAAAAGAGAUUCAAGAGACAGUGGCAAACACUGAGAACAGCCAAUUUAGAUUUCAACAUACAGAUAACAGGGAUCCCCACAGAAAAAAGCCAAAGCAAGAAAAAUGUAACACUAAACUCCAGUUCAAGCAAAUCUUCUUAAAAUAACAGAUAUGAAGUACACAUAGAAAGAGCACACCAUACGCUUGCAAAUAUGGACCAGGACAACCAAUACCAACACAUGACACAUUCGAAUAAAACGGCCGACUUGACAGAAAAAGGAAAAAAUCCUUUGGGCAUCUAAGGAAAAACAGCAUAUGACUGUCAGGGGAAGAAAACAAGAUUCAUCAGGCUUUUCAUGCAUCACUUUAUGCUGGAAGAAAACAGAAUAAAACAAGAUACUCAAAGAAAAUCUGGGCCAAGAAUUUCGUAUCCAGCAAAACUGAAUUCAACAUCAGAAACUCAAGGAAUACUGUCCCCAAGAUGACACUGACUAUAGACUGGUUAUGAGACCUGAACACACAGAAAUGAGUCAAUGGUGGUAAAAAGGAGCAAUUUUUCUGACAACGUAGACACAGUGCUGUUUUCAUCAUCACAAUUAAUGCUAUGGUAUUAGUAUUUUUUUUAAAUGCUAAAUGCUAAAGAGGAAUAAAACAAGUGAGUGAUUAAGGGAUGGAUAUUCCAUGCCAUUGUCCUGUGUCUUGAGAAGCAGGAUUCCGAGUGCAGGAGACACAGACAUCAUAUAGAGGAGGCUAUGUAAAGGCCCCAGGACCCUGAAUUUGUAUUGGGAAUAUCAAUAUAGGCUCAGAAAAUAUUCUUCCUUUAAAUAGGAGAACGUUCUGAACCACUUUUGGUCCUGAGUGCUACCCAGCUGAAGAAACUAUUUUCUGCUCAAUUAAACUGCUAACUUGUCUAAAGUUUUUCUUUUAAGACAGGUUUGGAGCAGAAGCUCUAUAAAUUGGGCCUAGAGCAUCUUGACAUGCCAGGCUGCAGGGAGCUAUCAAUGACUGUGCGUGUGGUCUGUGCACACAUGUAUGCACACAUGUGCACACUUAUCAAAAGAAAGCAAGAGCCAAGCUGAAGAGGCUCCCUCUCACUGACCGAAUAAGCUAGUCUGAGCUAAAUAAAGAUAAAAAUCACAACGGAUUGAAACCCACCAAGUAUGCUUAACUCCACAAAUUCUUUUUUUUUUUUAAGACAAGGACUUGCUGUCGCCCAGGCUGGAAUGUGGUGGCAUGGUCACAGCUCACGCAUCCUCGACCUCCUGGGCCCAAGCGAUCCUCCCAUCUCAGCCUCCAGAAUAGCUGGGACAACAGGCAGGCACUACCACACCCACCUGAUUUUAUUUUAAUUUUCUGUAGAGACAGGGUGUCACUAUGUUGCCCAGACUAGUCUCAAACUCCUGGGUUCAUGUGAUCCUCCAGCCUCAGCCUCCCAAAGUGCUGGGAUUACAGGCAUAAGACACCAUGCCCAGCCCAUGAAUUCUUGUAUAUAUGUAAAAACCCUUCACCACUCACCUUCCUUGACAGACAACUAAUGCAUUAUCUUAAAAACUUAGUGUACAAGAGCAAAGAAUCAAGCAUUUAUCCUGCCCUUCCUAUAUGAACUGUACCACUGGGUAACCAGAUAAGUAUAAAAAAGAAAACACUUUCUUAGAAAACCAUUCCAGCUAAUAAAGGCAAGCAAAACGACAGAAUGAGAAUACCACCAUUUUGCAACCCCAAAUAAUUAAUGGAUCUUGGCACUGAGCAUCAGCUGCCGUCAACAUGGUACUUUCCUGAGGAAAGCUCCUAACCGCCUGUUCUCCUGCCAAAGGGAUCAAAUUUGAGGCUCAUCAAGCCUCUGGACCCAGCUGCCAAUGUGCAGGAAACAUAGAGGACCAUGCUGAACUACACCAUGACCACGUGGUCAGCAAAAUCUACACUGUGGGAAGCCAUGGGACAAACAGCCCAGGCUCUUCAACAGAUAAACGGCAGGGAAAACAGUGAGGCCGACGGGACUGCAAAUGGACACUGAAGUAGAUAAAAAAAUAAACAAAAAAAAGCAGACAAGACUAAACUGCCAUCAAAAAACCAAGAAAGUCAUUUCUGUAAAAGUCAGGAUUACUUGUUGGGGCAAGGAGGGGGAGAAGAAGAGGGCUGUGGCUGGAGGGGCACUUGGGAGAGCCUCCUGGGGUAUCUGGCAAAGUACUAUUUCUUCACCAGGUGGUGGACACAAAGGUUAUUCACCUUACAAUCAUAAUCAUUCAAUAAGCUAUACAUUUGUUUUGUGUCACUUCCUGUAUGUUUUUAUAAUAAAAAGGUUUAAAACUAAAUAAAUAAUCAUGUCAAACUUUUACUACUUUUUUUUUUUUUUGAGACAGAGUCUCACUCUGUUGCCCAGGAUGGAGUGCAGUGGUGCAAUCUUGGCUCACUGCAACCUCUGCCG